GUGCUCACCUUGGCAGCGCAUAUACUAAAAUUGGAAUGAUACAGAGAAGAUUAGCAUGGCCACUGCGCAAGGAUGACACACAAAUUCGUGAAGCAUUCCAUAUUUUU
ensembl:snRNA U6 U6 spliceosomal RNA